rnacentral:rRNA from 1 species
AUUGAACGCUGGCGGCAGGCCUAACACAUGCAAGUCGAACGAGUGGCGGACGGGUGAGUAAUGUCUGGGAAACUGCCCGAUGGAGGGGGAUAACUACUGGAAACGGUAGCUAAUACCGCAUACCAUCGGAUCCGCCCAGAUGGGCUUAGCUAGUAGGUGGGGUAACGGAUCACCUAGGCUACGAUCCCUAGCUGGUCUGAGAGGAUGACCAGCCAAGCGGGAACUGAGACAAGGUCAAGACUCCUACGGGAGGCAGCAGUGGGGAAUAUUGCACAAUGGGCGCAAGCCUGAUGCAGCCAUGCCGCGUGUAUGAAGAAGGCCUUCGGGUUGUAAAGUACUUUCAGCGAGGAGGCGUUACUCGCAGAAGAAGCACCGGCUAACUCCGUGCCAGCAGCCGCGGUAAUAC